UGGGGAAUAUUGGACAAUGGGCGAAAGCCUGAUCCAGCCAUGCCGCGUGUGUGAAGAAGGCCUUUUGGUUGUAAAGCACUUUAAGCGAGGAGGAGGCUACUAGUACUAAUACUACUGGAUAGUGGACGUUACUCGCAGAAUAAGCACCGGCUAACUCUGUGCCAGCAGCCGCGGUAAUACAGAGGGUGCGAGCGUUAAGCGGAUUUACUGGGCGUAAAGCGUGCGUAGGCGGCUGAUUAAGUCGGAUGUGAAAUCCCUGAGCUUAACUUAGGAAUUGCAUUCGAUACUGGUCAGCUAGAGUAUGGGAGAGGAUGGUAGAAUUCCAGGUGUAGCGGUGAAAUGCGUAGAGAUCUGGAGGAAUACCGAUGGCGAAGGCAGCCAUCUGGCCUAACACUGACGCUGAGGUGCGAAAGCAUGGGGAGCAAACAGG
rnacentral:rRNA from 1 species